rnacentral:sRNA from 1 species
UGCUUCAGAGAAGGUUAUUAGCAUGGCUCCUGUACAAGGAUGACUCCCAAACUCAUGAAAUUCCAAACUUUAAA